rnacentral:sRNA from 1 species
AUUUAUUUUAUUUUAUUUUU